UACAGAGGGUGCAAGCGUUAAUCGGAAUUACUGGGCGUAAAGCGUGCGUAGUCGGUUGUUUAAGUCGGAUGUGAAAUCCCCGGGCUCAACCUGGGAAUUGCAUUCGAUACUGGAUAGCUAGAGUUCGGCAGAGGGAAGCGGAAUUUCCGGUGUAGCGGUGAAAUGCGUAGAUAUCGGAAGGAACAUCAGUGGCGAAAGCGGCUUCCUGGACCAGAACUGACGAUCAGGCACGAAAGCGUGGGGAGCAAACAGG
rnacentral:rRNA from 1 species